AUGAAAAGUAAUGCAAGACAUAAUCUGUAGCCAGAAAUCACCUGUUUUAAUUGCUGUACUCUUAACAAAUUGUAAAUUGCAAAAUGAUAAGAGUACUUGGGGGUAAAAAGGUCCAGUGCAUCAAACAUAUACUUAAGUAUCUAGAUAAAUAAUAGUUUGUCUCACAAACAGGUUUGAUUCUCAUCUUUGAACCUGUUACUUGGAAACAUUCAGAUUUUGGAAACAAUUAUUCAGAGAUCCACUGACUAGCCCAUAAUGCAGUUGUGUUAAUCCAUUAUAAAAAUCAUUCACAUAAAAGCAUUUUAAUCUUCAACAGAAGCAAUAAAAUUAAAAGGUAAUACUUCUUUUUAGUAAUUAGAUAAUCAAAUAACCACACUGGAAUAAAAUAAAGACAAUUUCUUAUUUCUGCUUAUUCAAUAAACUCCCUUCCUCUUUUUUAGAUAAUGAAAAUAAAUGUAUCACAACCAAAUAUGGGAAACUGCUUAGUCUUUAUUUAGACCUGAAGGGAUAAAUGAACUUUGGUCACAUUUCCUUUUAAAAAAAUAAAAAUCCAGGUUUACAUAUUUCUAAAUAGUCAGAACUAAAUGAGCAGAAAAAUAAUUUCAUAUGUAAAACUUGGCCAAAUUUUAUCAAAAUCCUAACAUGCAAUGUGAUACAAGUUGUAUGAAGGCUGGAAUUACAACAUUCUAAAUGUGACAGUUUUAUUCUGUUCUAAUAUGUAUUAAUCUAUCAUGUCCCAUCAUUCUAUAUAGAAUUGGAAUCCUGGAGCUUAAUGGGUUGAUGUACUUGUGCUUGUGUUGUUUUGGUCCAAAAGAGCAGAGCUGAAUCAGUAAGAGUGAAUGAAAUAUGUAAUCUUUUUCCAACAAUAAUUUAGAUUGUGAUAGGCAGCAGAAAUAUUCUUGAUGAAUGUUCUACUUUAACAAUUAAUUAAGGAAUAUAUUUCAUGAAAACAUCACAGCAUCAAAUUUUUAUAAAAGAAAAAUAUGAAGAAAAAAAACCCAGAUGAAAUAGCUACCACAACAUGUCUUCCACAAUGCAUCUGAAGGGGUAAAAGGUGAGGUUAAAGGGUUGGUGAUGUUAAU
rnacentral:lncRNA from 1 species